CCAGCCGGCCGGGCGACCGCUGCCGCAAUCGUCGAAAGACCGCGGGGGAGGAAAGUCCGGGCUCCAAGGAGGAACGGUGCCGGGUAACGCCCGGCGGGGGUGACCCCAGGGACAGUGCCACAGAGAGCAGACCGCCUCGCUGCCUUCGGGUCGCGGGGUAAGGGUGAAAGGGUGGGGUAAGAGCCCACCGCGCGGCCGGCAACGGUCGCGGCAUGGUAAACCCCACCGGGAGCAAGACCGAAUAGGGACGACGCGGCGGGCAACCGCCGGCCCGCUCCGGGCCAGUCGUCCGGGUAGGUUGCACGAGGCGCCGCGCGAGCGGCGUCCCAGAGGAAUGGUCGCCGCACGGCAUUUUGCCGUCGCACAGAACCCGGCUUACAGGCCGGCUGGCUCC
rnacentral:RNase_P_RNA from 1 species